rnacentral:rRNA from 1 species
UCGGGAAUUUUGGGCAAUGGGCGAAAGCCUGACCCAGCAACGCCGCGUGAAGGAUGAAGUAUUUCGGUAUGUAAACUUCGUAAGAAUAGGAAGAAUAAAUGAUGGUACUAUUUGUAAGGUCCGGCUAACUACGUGCCAGCAGCCGCGGUAAUACGUAGGGACCAAGCGUUGUUCGGAUUUACUGGGCGUAAAGGGCGCGUAGGCGGUGUGUCAAGUCAGUUGUGAAAUCUCCGAGCUUAACUCGGAACGGUCAACUGAUACUGUCACACUAGAGUACAGAAGGGGCAAUCGGAAUUCUUGGUGUAGCGGUGAAAUGCGUAGAUAUCAAGAGGAACACCUGAGGCGAAGGCGGGUUGCUGGGCUGAUACUGACGCUGAGGCGCGAAAGCUAGGGUAGCAAACGGGAUUAGAUACCCCCGUAGUCCCUGAGCGGGCUGGCAAGGCGCAU